rnacentral:rRNA from 1 species
UUAGGCGAACGGGUGAGUAACGCGUGAGUAACCUGCCCUGGAGUGGGGGGACGAACAGUUGGAAACGACUGCUAAUACCGCAUAAGCCCACGAUCCGGCAUCGGAUUGAGGGAAAAGGAUUUAUUCGCUUCAGGAUGGACUCGCGUCCAAUUAGCUGGUUGGUGAGGUAACGGCCCACCAAGGCGACGAUUGGUAGCCGGACUGAGAGGUUGAACGGCCACAUUGGGACUGAGACACGGCCCAG